UAACAGCUUAUAACAUAUCGCUUAUUCUAAUGAGUUUAUUCUUAUGACGGAAAUUAAUAAGGGGAUAUUUCAAUAAUAUGUAUAGGCAAUGUUAAGAUGAAGUUUGAGAAUUUAAUAAUACAGCUUGGGAGGUAUUUGCAAAACUAAGACCUGAUUUAAGAUUUAUUUAAAGUAAGAACGCAAAUAUGUUUACACUCAGGUGGGGUAUAAUUGGAAUCAAUAAAAUGGAAAGUCAGACCUGAUUUAAGAUUAAAUCCAAAUAAGAACACAAUGAGUCCAGAGUCAGCAUAUAGAUACGAGAUUGUAAGUAACACACAUGGUCAACAAACAGCACAGAUGAAAAGGUCACCUAUUGUCUGGGGUACAAAAGUUAUAGUACUGACGAACGUAACGGGAUUACUCUAAACCAAUAUAAAUUGAUUAGAUUUUAGUGCAUUUGGCAAGCAAGUAAAUACAUGAAUAGAUUGUUCCUUCUAGAACGUUCUAAUAAGUCAACCAAUCCGUAAUAAGCCCAGACCUUGAUGACCAAUGGAAAUUACAAGUAGAUUUUAUGUAAAUUAUCCUGGGGAUAAAAUGCAGUGUUUAAGUUAAUAAAAAAGGUCUGCGGUUAGAGAUUUGUCACGUCUAUUUGACGUGGUGGCCAUGUCGGCCGCCGCGCUGUAAAAUUGUACUUCAUGAACAUUAGAAGCGUUGUGUUAGAAAUUAUUAAACAGAAAUAAAUCUCGAUGAAAACAGAAA